rnacentral:lncRNA from 1 species
AAAAGUACAGUAAAAUAGUCUUCAGAAUUUAAGCAAAAGAUAGUUAUUAACUAUCAGAUUCAGGCACUUAAAUACUUAUAUAUCUACUCCCCAUUUUGUAAUCAACAAAAAGAACAAAGAACAAAUGAAUAAAAAAAAUAUACUAAAGAAAAGUAAUUGUAAACCAAACAAAAGAGUUGUCAUAUUGCAUAGAAAAAUCUCAAAAAAAGUUAGAAAUAAAGGACAAUUAAAGGGUAUUAAGCCUAAAUUCCAGGGUAUUUUCUUCAAAAUCUCCAAGAUGACUUUGAU